AUCUAAAUAGCUUAUAUUUAGAGCAUAAUAUUGAAGAUAUUACGGAAAUUUUAUUAUUUUUAGAUA
rnacentral:tRNA from 1 species